GUGAGACUUAGCGCUCCAACCCUUGCGAAUCUACCAUUGCGGCGUUGUUUCGGUGGGUUUGUCAGUGGAUUUGUCCGCUGACAUGCCGCCUGGCCAGCGGAGCCCGCCGGCAGCGCCAAAUUCUCAGUUUUAGUGAAAGUCUUCUGAGUGGCAAAGCAAAACAAGCA
rnacentral:misc_RNA from 1 species